AGGGUGACAGCCCCGUACACAAAAGCGCAUGUGCUGUGAGCUCGAUGAGUAGGGCGGGACACGUGGUAUCCUGUCUGAAUAUGGGGGGACCAUCCUCCAAGGCUAAAUACUCCUGACUGACCGAUAGUGAACCAGUACCGUGAGGGAAAGGCGAAAAGAACCCCGGCGAGGGGAGUGAAAAAGAACCUGAAACCGUGUACGUACAAGCAGUGGGAGCACAGGUUUACCUGUGUGACUGCGUACCUUUUGUAUAAUGGGUCAGCGACUUAUAUUCUGUAGCAAGGUUAACCGUAUAGGGGAGCCGUAGGGAAACCGAGUCUUAAUUGGGCGUUAAGUUGCAGGGUAUAGACCCGAAACCCGGUGAUCUAGCCAUGGGCAGGUUGAAGGUUGGGUAACACUAACUGGAGGACCGAACCGACUAAUGUUGAAAAAUUAGCGGAUGACCUGUGGCUGGGGGUGAAAGGCCAAUCAAACCGGGAGAUAGCUGGUUCUCCCCGAAAGCUAUUUAGGUAGCGCCUCGUGAAUUCAUCUCCGGGGGUAGAGCACUGUUUCGGCUAGGGGGCCAUCCCGGCUUACCAACCCGAUGCAAACUGCGAAUACCGGAGAAUGUUAUCACGGGAGACACACGGCGGGUGCUAACGUCCGUCGUGAAGAGGGAAACAACCCAGACCGCCAGCUAAGGUCCCAAAGUCAUGGUUAAGUGGGAAACGAUGUGGGAAGGCCCAGACAGCCAGGAUGUUGGCUUAGAAGCAGCCAUCAUUUAAAGAAAGCGUAAUAGCUCACUGGUCGAGUCGGCCUGCGCGGAAGAUGUAACGGGGCUAAACCAUGCACCGAAGCUGCGGCAGCGACGCUUAUGCGUUGUUGGGUAGGGGAGCG
rnacentral:rRNA from 1 species